GUGCCAGCCGCCGCGGUAAUACAGAGGGUGCAAACGUUGCUCGGAAUUACUGGGCGUAAAGCGCGUGUAGGUGGUUUCGCAAGUCAGGUGUGAAAGCCCGAGGCUCAACCUCGGAAGUGCACUUGAUACUACGGAGCUGGAGUCUUGGAGAGGAGAGCGGAAUUCCCGGUGUAGAGGUGAAAUUCGUAGAUAUCGGGAGGAACACCAGUGGCGAAGGCGGCUCUCUGGACAAGUACUGACACUGAGACGCGAAAGCAUGGGGAGCAAACAGGAUUAGAAACCCUAGUAGUCC
rnacentral:rRNA from 1 species